GAAAUGCGAUAAGUAAUGUGAAUUGCCGAAUUCAGUGAAUCAUCGAAUCAUUGAACGCACCUUGCGCUCCUUGGUAUUGCGAGGAGCAUGCCUGUUUGAGUGUCAUUAAAUUCUCAACCUCACCAAUUUUUGUAAUGUAAAUUGUGUGCAGGCUUGGAUGUGGGGGUUUGCAGGUCCGCCUCCUGGUUGUCUGCUCCGCUGAAAUGCAUUAGUGGGGUGUGCCCCUAAUCUAUUGGUGUGAUAAUUAUCUACGCCGUGGAUCAGGUUGGCUACUAUAGACCUGCUUCUAACCGUCCGUCUCGGACAACUUUGACAUUUUUGACCUCAAAUCAAGUAGGACUACCCGCUGAACUUAA
rnacentral:misc_RNA from 1 species